AUCCUAAAGAGCGUGUUAGAGGCAGGGAACGCAAUGGAGGUCACUCCACUGUCACUACAAAUUCCGGGAAGGAAACUUCCCCAGAUUCCUCCACUUGGAGGUGGCGCUCGGCCUCAGGCUAGGAGGGAACAGGUGAGAAAGCAGCCCAGGUGGGGUGGGUUUGCAGCGAGGAGACACCCCAGGGCAAACAGCCUGACCCCAGCCAGGGAUGUCCAAGAAAGGCCGCGACUCCUGAUAAUCCCUUAUGCCCCGGAGCGCCUCGCCUGCAGAGGCAGCGUCCCCGCCACCCAGCCCCGGCUCUGCCGCGGUGAGGACCGGCGGGUCGGGGUGGACUGGACACUGUCCCACCCAUCAAAUGGUGAUUUAGGAGCCGUGACAUCCGAAUGCCAUCCUCCACUGGCGAGACCCUCAGAGCAGCCACGCCUCUAGCGACUGCCCCGCCACCCGAGGCCGGGGGUCGCGCGACUCACCCAAAGACUGGUGUUUCAGGCGCUCCACGGAGCAGGUUGUUUGUCAGCAGCUAAGUGCCGUCAGGGUUCCCGGCUCUGGCGUCCGUGGGCGGCUACGGGAAGCGACAGGAGUCAGUCCUCGUUCACUUCCCGGCUCGCGCGCCUCACUGCUGUGGUCUCCCCACCCUCCCCGCGCCCCGCCUUCUGUGUCUGGGGCGUCCCUGGCGGCUCUGCUGGGUUUUGGACAGGGACCCGCCGCUGAUCGCCACCCAGCUCGGCCUCCUGCACAGCCUCUGGAGCCUUGGACCGCGACUGGCUUGCUGUGGGACGAGCACAGAGGGAUAAGGACAAAGAAUGUGUCCUGGGUGGAUCUGGCUGCCUUUGCCCGGAAGGCGGAGUGGGGUGGGAGGUGGUAGGAAAAUGGGAAGGAAAGAAAAGAAAGGUGGGCCGACGUCCACCUGGCUGUUCCAGGCCUCCAGGUCUAGGAGGGAGGGCGCUCGGGGCUGGGACUUUUCAGGACCAGGGUGGUCACCGCACAGGCCCCGCCUGCCUGGACCAAGCGCUGGCCUUCCCGGGGCGCCCAGGUCCACGGGGUCAACGCCAGGGUUUUCUCAGCUUCCUCGUCUGCCUCGGAUCCAAGUCCAGACAGUGCCAGAAGAGACUUGGAGGCGCUGCUUUUUGACAGUACACACCUCUGUAUGCAGGUGAAACGGUGGGGGAAGGGUUCAGUACGCUGGACUGUGCCCAGCCCAAGCUCCCCAUCCGUUAGUGAUAACUUGGACUCGCAGCCACUCCGCGUCACUCGCCAGUUAUCCUGCGUGUGGGUGUUUUCUCCAAAUUGGACACUUAGGGAACAGUUUAAGCAGUAUGGAGCACAAUUCUGUGCCUAUUAGAUGCUCUUAAAUACCCGACUUCUCAGGGCCCUACACUGACUGAUAGUUUGACCUAUUGGCUGUAAACACACCAGCCAGAAAUACAAAUAAAGUUAAACAAAGUCAUGUCAGCCACUUGGAA
rnacentral:lncRNA from 1 species